rnacentral:rRNA from 1 species
CAGUCGCCGCGGGAAUACGAAGGGGGCUAGCGUUGUUCGGAAUUACUGGGCGUAAAGCGCACGUAGGCGGAUAUUUAAGUCAGGGGUGAAAUCCCGCAGCUCAACUGCGGAACUGCCUUUGAUACUGGGUAUCUUGAGUAUGGAAGAGGUUAGUGGAAUUGCGAGUGUAGAGGUGAAAUUCGUAGAUAUUCGCAGGAACACCAGUGGCGAAGGCGGCUAACUGGUCCAUAACUGACGCUGAGGUGCGAAAGCGUGGGGAGCAAACAGGAUUAGAUACCCCCGUAGUCCCUGUCUCUUAUAC